AGUCGAACGGCAGCGCGGGGCAACCCUGGCGGCGAGUGGCGAACGGGUGAGUAAUAUAUCGGAACGUACCCAAGAGUGGGGGAUAACGUAGCGAAAGUUACGCUAAUACCGCAUACGAUCUAAGGAUGAAAGCAGGGGAUCUUCGGACCUUGUGCUCCUGGAGCGGCCGAUAUCUGAUUAGCUAGUUGGUGAGGUAAAGGCUCACCAAGGCUACGAUCAGUAGCUGGUCUGAGAGGACGACCAGCCACACUGGAACUGAGACACGGUCCAGACUCCUACGGGAGGCAGCAGUGGGGAAUUUUGGACAAUGGGCGAAAGCCUGAUCCAGCAAUGCCGCGUGAGUGAAGAAGGCCUUCGGGUUGUAAAGCUCUUUUGUCAGGGAAGAAACGGUUCGGGCUAAUAUCCUGUGCUAAUGACGGUACCUGAAGAAUAAGCACCGGCUAACUACGUGCCAGCAGCCGCGGUAAUACGUAGGGUGCAAGCGUUAAUCGGAAUUACUGGGCGUAAAGCGUGCGCAGGCGGUUUUGUAAGUCUGACGUGAAAUCCCCGGGCUCAACCUGGGAAUUGCGUUGGAGACUGCAAGGCUAGAAUCUGGCAGAGGGGGGUAGAAUUCCACGUGUAGCAGUGAAAUGCGUAGAGAUGUGGAGGAACACCGAUGGCGAAGGCAGCCCCCUGGGUCAAGAUUGACGCUCAUGCACGAAAGCGUGGGGAGCAAACAGGAUUAGAUACCCUGGUAGUCCACGCCCUAAACGAUGUCUACUAGUUGUCGGGUUUUAAUUAACUUGGUAACGCAGCUAACGCGUGAAGUAGACCGCCUGGGGAGUACGGUCGCAAGAUUAAAACUCAAAGGAAUUGAC
rnacentral:rRNA from 1 species